CCUACGGGCGGCUGCAGUGGGGAAUAUUGGACAAUGGGCGAAAGCCUGAUCCAGCCAUGCCGCGUGUGUGAAGAAGGCCUUCGGGUUGUAAAGCACUUUCAGUGGGGAAGAAAGCCUUGGGGCUAAUACCCUCGAGGAAGGACAUCACCCACAGAAGAAGCACCGGCUAACUCCGUGCCAGCAGCCGCGGUAAUACGGAGGGUGCGAGCGUUAAUCGGAAUUACUGGGCGUAAAGCGCGCGUAGGCGGUCUGAUAAGCCGGUUGUGAAAGCCCCGGGCUCAACCUGGGAACGGCAUCCGGAACUGUCAGGCUAGAGUGCAGGAGAGGAAGGUAGAAUUCCCGGUGUAGCGGUGAAAUGCGUAGAGAUCGGGAGGAAUACCAGUGGCGAAGGCGGCCUUCUGGACUGACACUGACGCUGAGGUGCGAAAGCGUGGGUAGCAAACAGGAUUAGAUACCUAGUAGUC
rnacentral:rRNA from 1 species